rnacentral:rRNA from 1 species
ACGCACGCUGGCGGCGUGCUUAACACAUGCAAGUCGAACGGAAAGGCCCUGCUUUUGUGGGGUGCUCGAGUGGCGAACGGGUGAGUAACACGUGAGUAACCUGCCCUUGACUUUGGGAUAACUUCAGGAAACUGGGGCUAAUACCGGAUAGGAGCUCCUGCUGCAUGGUGGGGGUUGGAAAGUUUCGGCGGUUGGGGAUGGACUCGCGGCUUAUCAGCUUGUUGGUGGGGUAGUGGCUUACCAAGGCUUUGACGGGUAGCCGGCCUGAGAGGGUGACCGGCCACAUUGGGACUGAGAUACGGCCCAGACUCCUACAGGAGGCAGCAGUGGGGAAUAUUGCACAAUGGGCGGAAGCCUGAUGCAGCAACGCCGCGUGCGGGAUGACGGCCUUCGGGUUGUAAACCGCUUUCGCCUGUGACGAAGCGUGAGUGACGGUAAUGGGUAAAGAAGCACCGGCUAACUACGUG